ACUCGUUCUAAAUUUGUAAUUUACAGGCCGAUUAAAUAGGAUAAACUUAUUAGAACCGUAAUAGAAAGGAUCAAUAAAGAUCAUUAGUGGGAAUGGCUUGUUGAGGAUGCUUAGAGUGCUUAUUGAAGCUCUUGAACUUUUUGAUGAGUUUUGUUGGUUUGGCAAUGGUUGGAUACGGGAUAUAUUUGUUUGUUGAGUAU